CACGUAGUUAGCCGGCGCUUCUUCCGCAGGUACACGUCAACUUCGUCCCUGCCGAAAGAGGUUUACAACCCGAAGGCCUUCAUCCCCCACGCGGCGUCGCUGCGUCAGGCUUUCGCCCAUUGCGCAAUAUUCCCCACUGCUGCCUCCCGUAGGAGUCUGGGCCGUGUCUCAGUCCCAGUGUGGCCGGUCGCCCUCUCAGGCCGGCUACCCGUCGUCGCCUUGGUAGGCCGUUACCCACCAACAAGCUGAUAGGCCGCGAGCCCAUCCCUGACCGGAAGACCCAAACGGGCCAACCUUUCCACCCACCCCAUGCGAAGGCAGGUCAUAUCCGGUAUUAGACCCGGUUUCCCAGGCUUAUCCCAGUGUCAGGGGCAGGUUGCUCACGUGUUACUCACCCGUUCGCCGCUCGAGUACCCCCGAACGGGGCCUUUCCGCUCGACUUGCAUGUGUUAAGCACGCCGCCAGCGUCGUCCUCGUAGCCGACGGAGUCAAACUAC
rnacentral:rRNA from 1 species